GGCCCUGUAGCGCAGUCGGUUAGCGUGCCGCCCUGUCACGGCGGAGGUCGCGGGUUCAAGUCCCGUCAGGGUCGCCA
rnacentral:tRNA from 1 species